GCUUAACUUCAGCCUGGGUUGAGGUGGAGGAGAAUUCCCGGAAUUAUGGCGAAGUCCGGGCUGGGGCAGGAUCCUCAGAGCACAGCUGCAGCCACUGUGCUCAAGCGGGCGGUAGAACUAGAUUCGGAGUCGCGGUAUCCGCAGGCUCUCGUGUGUUACCAAGAGGGGAUUGAUCUGCUCCUGCAGGUUCUGAAAGGUACCAAAGAUAAUACUAAGAGAUGUAAUCUCAGAGAAAAAAUUUCCAAAUACAUGGACAGAGCGGAAAACAUAAAGAAGUACUUGGAGCAAGAAAAAGAAGAAGCUAAAGAAACUCCUGGGAUUUCCCUCAGAUUUUGUUGUGAAUCAAAACACCUCAGGAGUUAAGCAUUCCUAAUGAUUAGAGGUCAGAUGGAAAAUAUCACAAGCAAAUUAAAAUAGAAGAGAAUGCAACAGGUUUCAGUUAUGAGUCACUUUUUCGCGAAUAUCUUAAUGAGACAGUUACAGAAGUUUGGAUAGAAGAUCCUUAUAUUAGACAUACUCAUCAGCUGUAUAACUUUCUUCGAUUUUGUGAGAUGCUUAUUAAGAGACCAUGUAAAGUAAAAACUAUUCACCUUCUCACCUCUCUGGAUGAAGGCACUGAGCAAGUGCAGCAAAGUAGGGGCCUGCAAGAAAUAGAAGAGUCACUCAGGAGUCAUGGAGUGCUGUUGGAAGUGCAGUACUCUUCUUCAAUACAUGACCGAGAAAUUAGGUUCAACAAUGGAUGGAUGAUUAAGAUUGGAAGGGGACUUGAUUAUUUUAAGAAACCACAGGUAGGAUAUAAUCUCAUGAGUAUAUGUGUAGCACUGUUUUUGUGUCAUUUUUAAUGAUACUCUUUUCUUCUCUUCUUAGAGUCGUUUUUCCCUUGGAUAUUGUGAUUUUGAUUUAAGACCAUGUCAUGAAACAACAGUGGACAUUUUUCAUAAGAAACAUACAAAAAAUAUAUGAUGGGCAGUAGCCUAAUUUGUAUUAUGUCUAUUUUAUGUGAAUAUUGGAUUUUUUUUAAAAGAUCACUUUUAUAAUGUAUGAAUUUAACAACAAACUUUUAUAUUUCUACUAAUUUAUGGAUCCAUCAUUCGGUUGUGGGAACAAUCCUAAAUAUUUUUGUAACUAUAUUACUCAGUAGAUUUACCAUGUUUCUUUCAAGUAAUACAGCUAAUUUAAACAUUUUACCAGCUUUUCUGUUACUUGGCUGUGGGAGCAUGUCAACAAAUAAUGAGCAUCUGUUAGGAAGAUGGAUUAGAUCUGAAUUUUGCCUGUGGGAGUUGUGAGUCCAGGCGGGAAAGACACCAUGGAUUAGAGUGCCUUUAAAGAGACAGAUGCAGCUUGGAGCUUGGGCAACCUGUUUCUGCAAAAAAAAAAAAAAAA